rnacentral:rRNA from 1 species
UACAGAGGGUGCGAGCGUUGUCCGGAUUUAUUGGGCGUAAAGAGCGUGUAGGCGGCCAGACAGGUCCGUUGUGAAAACUGGAGGCUCAACCUCCAGACGUCGAUGGAAACCGUCUGGCUAGAGUCCGGAAGAGGAGAGUGGAAUUCCUGGUGUAGCGGUGAAAUGCGCAGAUAUCAGGAAGAACACCCGUGGCGAAAGCGGCUCUCUGGGACGGUACUGACGCUGAGACGCGAAAGCGUGGGGAGCGAACAGG